AAGAUUAAUAAUAUCCAUCAGUAAAAAUUGAUAGCCUCCGGAGCUAAAGGCCGCAAGUUCGAUUCUUGCAUGCGCACCA
rnacentral:tRNA from 1 species